GCUUAUGAAUGUCCUCGCUUUGUUUCUUCUUUUCCUCGAAAAGACAAGAAGUAUGUGAGAUGGUUUGUUCUCAGGAGUAUAUUUUGUUUUUUCCAGAUAAUACCGGGGAUGGAGGGAACCAGCUUUUCUGGCCGUUCCGAUGUUUGCUCUGGCCACGGAGAAGAGGCCGGGACACCAAAUCCUCAACCAGCAGGCAACGAGCUAACACUGGAAGUAAAGAAGAAGUCAUCCCUCUGAAAAUCGGUUUGUUGUCUGCUGGCCCUCAUGUGAAUGGAGACUCUGUUGGAGGAGACAGCUGAUUUCAGAACACAUGGCCUGCAGACAAUCCUCUUUUAACUGUGAAGAAAGGGUUUGCCUUGUGGUACUAAAAAGCCUGACUACAUGUGACAGUGUUUCUGUAUAGUGGUCCAUAUUCCAUGUUCUGAAGAUAUAUUUAGCUAGUCAAAUAGUUUCAGACGGUGAAACAUACUUUUACUGUUUAUGAUUGGGGCUGAUUCAAGUAACUAUUUUU
ensembl:lncRNA